rnacentral:tRNA from 4 species
GGGCGGAUAGCUCAGUUGGUUAGAGCGUCGGUCUCACAUACCGAAGGUCAGAGGUUCGAAUCCUCUCCCGCCCA